rnacentral:rRNA from 1 species
GUCUCCUUUUUCAAUCAGUGAAAUUAAUCUCCCCGUGAAGAAGCGGGGAUACUCAUAUAAGACGAGAAGACCCCAUGGAGCUUCAAACCCAACUACACCCCUAGCUCUUAUAGCCCCACAACCCCCCUAGGCACCGUGUACUUGGUUUUAGGUUGGGGCGACCGCGGAGUACAAUAAAACCUCCNCAAUGAANGGGAACACCCCCUUAUCUGAGGGCCACACCCCCUAANAAUUAGAACACUAACAUAAAAUGAUCCAUUACUUGAUCAAUGAACCAAGUUACCCUGGGGAUAACAGCGCAAUCCAUUUCAAGAGCCCCUAUCNACAAAUGGG